rnacentral:rRNA from 1 species
AACGUAGGAGGCGAGCGUUAUCCGGAUUUACUGGGUGUAAAGCGCGUGCAGGCGGACGAGUAAGUUGGAUGUGAAAGCUCCCGGCUUAACUGGGAGAGGUCGUUCAAAACUGCUGGUCUUGAGCGUGGUAGGGGAAGGCGGAAUUCCGGGUGUAGUGGUGAAAUGCGUAGAUAUCCGGAGGAACACCAGUGGCGAAAGCGGCCUUCUGGACCACGACUGACGCUCAGACGCGAAAGCUAGGGGAGCAAACGGG